rnacentral:rRNA from 1 species
UACGUAGGGGGCAAGCGUUGUCCGGAAUCAUUGGGCGUAAAGAGCGUGUAGGCGGCCCGGUAAGUCCGCUGUGAAAGUCCAGGGCUCAACCCUGGGAUGCCGGUGGAUACUGUCGGGCUCGAGUCCGGAAGAGGAGUGUGGAAUUCCUGGUGUAGCGGUGAAAUGCGCAGAUAUCAGGAGGAACACCAGCGGCGAAGGCGGCGCUCUGGGCCGGUACUGACACUGAGACACGAAGGCCAGGGGAGCAAACGGG